rnacentral:lncRNA from 1 species
GGUCCUUAGGGUCCCGGGAGGUCCUGGGGUCGAGUGCUAAGGCUUGGAUAAUUUAGAGUCGCGGAUUGGCCUGCUGGGACGUGACUCAUGACCUGUCUGGCAAGAUUGUACUUCCCGCCUUCCGCACUUUGAAGGAAAUAGUGAGAAGAUAUGGAGGCCGUUCACUGCCACCUUUUAUUUCCCCGUGGGGCCCGGAACUGGAUUUCUUUAUUUGGUCAAUUUAUAUUUCUUAUAUCAGUAUUCUACACGGCUUGAGGCAG